rnacentral:rRNA from 1 species
AGAAUCAACGCUGGCGGCGUGCCUCAGACAUGCAAGUCGAACGAUUAAACUUUCCUUCGGGAAAGAUAUAAAGUGGCGCACGGGUGAGUAACACGUAAGUAAUCUACCUUCGAGUGGGGAAUAACCCGGGGAAACCCGAGCUAAUACCGCAUAAUGCAGCGGCAUCGCAAGAUGACAGUUGUUAAAGGAAUUUAUUUCGCUUGAAGAGGAGCUUGCGGCAGAUUAGCUUGUGUAAGUAACGGCUUACCAAGGCUACGAUCUGUAUCCGGUCUAAGAGGACGGUCGGACACACUGACACUGAAUAACGGGUCAGACUCCUACGGGAGGCAGCAGUCGGGAAUUUGGGCAAUGGGCGAAAAGCCUGACCCAGCAACGCCGCGUGAAGGACGAAGUAUUUCGGUAUGUAAAACUUCGAAAAGAAUAAGGAAGAAAUAAAAUGAACGGUACUAAUUUAUAAAGCUCCGGCUAAACUACGUGCCAGUAGCCGC